GUGUGUAUGAUACACUCACGACCAGAAGAGCCUUCUGGCCAUCCCAUCAGGAGUUUUUGCUUUACGUGGAAAGAGGACAGUGGACACCACGCACAAACCAGAAAGAGACAUCAAAGUGUGGAGGGCAUUCUCUUGAAGGGAUCGAUAUGCCCCAGCCAAGGUCUAGUGACCCUUUUUAAGAACAAGAAACCUGGAGGCCAGAAGCUGCGGUUCAGCUGCCCACAAUGCCAGCAAGAAUACUCGUCUUUUUGUCUCGGUCCUGCCCUUAGCAUGCGAGUCUUCUGUCAUAAUUCUAUGCCACAG